GACGAACGCUGGCGGCGUGCUUAACACAUGCAAGUCGAACGGAAAGGCCCUGCUUUUGUGGGGUGCUCGAGUGGCGAACGGGUGAGUAACACGUGAGUAACCUGCCCUUGACUUUGGGAUAACUUCAGGAAACUGGGGCUAAUACCGGAUAGGAGCUCCUGCUGCAUGGUGGGGGUUGGAAAGUUUCGGCGGUUGGGGAUGGGCUCGCGGCUUAUCAGCUUGUGGGUGGGGUAGUGGCUUACCAAGGCUUUGACGGGUAGCCGGCCUGAGAGGGUGACCGGCCACGUUGGGACGGAGAUACGGCCCAGACUCCUACGGGAGGCAGCAGUGGGGAGUAUUGCAGAAUGGGCGGAAGCCUGAUGCAGCAACGCCGCGUGCGGGAUGACGGCCUUCGGGUUGUAAACCGCUUUCGCCUGUGACGAAGCGUGAGUGACGGUAAUGGGUAAAGAAGCACGGGCUAACUACGUG
rnacentral:rRNA from 1 species